UUGCGAACGGGUGAGUAACGCGUAGGUAACCUGCCUGGUAGCGGGGGAUAACUAUUGGAAACGAUAGCUAAUACCGCAUAAUAGCAGUUGUUGCAUGACAGCUGUUUGAAAGGUGCAAUUGCACCACUACCAGAUGGACCUGCGUUGUAUUAGCUAGUUGGUGGGGUAACGGCUCACCAAGGCGACGAUACAUAGCCGACCUGAGAGGGUGAUCGGCCACACUGGGACUGAGACACGGCCCAGACUCCUACGGGAGGCAGCAGUAGGGAAUCUUCGGCAAUGGACGGAAGUCUGACCGAGCAACGCCGCGUGAGUGAAGAAGGUUUUCGGAUCGUAAAGCUCUGUUGUAAGAGAAGAACGAGUGUGAGAGUGGAAAGUUCACACUGUGACGGUAUCUUACCAGAAAGGGACGGCUAACUACGUGCCAGCAGCCGCGGUAAUACGUAGGUCCCGAGCGUUGUCCGGAUUUAUUGGGCGUAAAGCGAGCGCAGGCGGUUAGAUAAGUCUGAAGUUAAAGGCUGUGGCUUAACCAUAGUACGCUUUGGAAACUGUUUAACUUGAGUGCAAGAGGGGAGAGUGGAAUUCCAUGUGUAGCGGUGAAAUGCGCAGAUAUAUGGAGGAACACCGGUGGCGAAAG
rnacentral:rRNA from 1 species